rnacentral:rRNA from 1 species
UACAGAGGUCUCAAGCGUUGUUCGGAUUCAUUGGGCGUAAAGGGUGCGUAGGUGGCGCUGUAAGUCAGGUGUGAAAUUUCGGAGCUUAACUCCGAAACUGCAUUCGAUACUGCCGUGCUUGAGGACUGGAGAGGAGACUGGAAUUUACGGUGUAGCGGUGAAAUGCGUAGAUAUCGAGAGGAACACCGGUGGCGAAGGCGGGUCUCUGGGCCGAUACUGACGCUGAGGAGCGAAAGCGUGGGGAGCGAACAGG